GAAUCUAUGGUGAAGUAAGAUCACUUGAACUUUGGGAUUAUUACAAUAUUUUUUAGCACAACGGCAUCUAGAAGUUAAGGCCCCAUUGUGCUGAGAACUGCACAACAUAAAGAGACUGUUCCUGCCCCGAAGCACUUUCUGUUUCCCCUCUCACCAGAACUGUGGAUUUGACAGACCACUGAAAGGAAUACCCUGGUUGAGUUCAAUCUGGAUACCAAGCUGCAUCAGAGGAUCAAAAAGAAGGUGAAGUUCUCUUGUGUUAGGCAAAAAGCUGAUGUUUUGGACACAAAGAUCAUUCUGAGUAAUUCAUAAUAAUAGCAGGGAGACUACAAAGCAAAUGCAGAACAGGAAGAGUUGAAGGGGAGAAGAGAAGGAAGGUCUCCCUGAGCACUCUCCAGAAAGGCCUCUGGACAUUGACAACUAGCUGGUCAGAGCAGGAUGAUAUUUGUUGCAAAAGUUACUUCCAAACAGUGGCUGGAGUUUUCCACUCAUACCUUGGUAAUGUCCCAAAAUGCAGUGUA